GGCCAGAUAGCUCAGUCAGUAGAGCACCUGACUCAGAUUCAGGGGCCUGGGUUCAUAUCCCGGUCUGGUCU